GACGAACGCUGGCGGCGUGCCUAAUACGUGCAAGUAGAACGCUGAAGAGAGGAGCUUACUCCUCUUGGAUGAGUUGCGAACGGGUGAGUAACGCGUAGGUAACCUGCCUUGUAGCGGGGGAUAACUAUUGGAAACGAUAGCUAAUACCGCAUAACAAUGGAUGACACAUGUCAUUUAUUUGAAAGGGGCAAUUGCUCCACUACAAGAUGGACCUGCGUUGUAUUAGCUAGUAGGUGAGGUAAUGGCUCACCUAGGCGACGAUACAUAGCCGACCUGAGAGGGUGAUCGGCCACACUGGGACUGAGACACGGCCCAGACGCCUACGGGAGGCAGCAGUAGGGAAUCUUCGGCAAUGGGGGCAACCCUGACCGAGCAACGCCGCGUGAGUGAAGAAGGUUUUCGGAUCGUAAAGCUCUGUUGUAAGUCAAGAACGGGUGUGAGAGUGGAAAGUUCACAAUGUGACGGUAGCUUACCAGAAAGGGACGGCUAACUACGUG
rnacentral:rRNA from 1 species